rnacentral:rRNA from 1 species
CGUAGGGCGCAAGCGUUGUCCGGAAUUAUUGGGCGUAAAGAGCUCGUAGGCGGCUUGUCACGUCGAUUGUGAAAGCUCGGGGCUUAACCCCGAGUCUGCAGUCGAUACGGGCUAGCUAGAGUGUGGUAGGGGAGAUCGGAAUUCCUGGUGUAGCGGUGAAAUGCGCAGAUAUCAGGAGGAACACCGGUGGCGAAGGCGGAUCUCUGGGCAGUAACUGACGCUGAGGAGCGAAAGCGUGGGGAGCGAACAGG